rnacentral:rRNA from 1 species
GGGGAAUAUUGGACAAUGGGGGCAACCCUGAUCCAGCCAUGCCGCGUGUGUGAAGAAGGUCUUCGGAUUGUAAAGCACUUUAAGUUGGGAGGAAGGGCUUGCGGUUAAUACCUGCAAGUUUUGACGUUACCGACAGAAUAAGCACCGGCUAACUCUGUGCCAGCAGCCGCGGUAAUACAGAGGGUGCAAGCGUUAAUCGGAAUUACUGGGCGUAAAGCGCGCGUAGGUGGUUCAGUAAGAUGGAAGUGAAAUCCCCGGGCUCAACCUGGGAACUGCUUUCAUAACUGCUGGGCUAGAGUACGGUAGAGGGUAGUGGAAUUUCCUGUGUAGCGGUGAAAUGCGUAGAUAUAGGAAGGAACACCAGUGGCGAAGGCGACUACCUGGACUGGUACUGACACUGAGGUGCGAAAGCGUGGGGAGCAAAC